rnacentral:rRNA from 1 species
AGAGUUUGAUCCUGGCUCAGGAUAAACGCUGGCGGCGUGCCUAACACAUGCAAGUCGAACGUCCUCUGUCUUUUCGGAGAGAGAGGGAGUGGCGGACGGGUGAGUAACACAUGGGUACCUACCCCACAGUGAGGAAUACCGGCGAGAAAUCGCCGACAAGACCGCAUAGGCUUCUCUUCACAGGGAAGCAAAGCCUCUUU